rnacentral:lncRNA from 1 species
AAAAAAAAUGUCAGUUCACAUGGUUUCAGUUCAGUUUUACACAAAUAAAGUCCUUUGAAAUUAUAUUUAGGGUCCUCCACCAUGUAAUAAUCCUGUUUGGGGAUACGAGAGGCAAAAUAUUAGGAGCUCAUAAAAUUACAUCCUUUAAUGGCGCUUGCAAAACGAAAAAGAGACAGUACCUGUGAUUACGAUUACAUACAUGUAUAUAACAAAAUCGUAUACGGACUGAACAGUAUUUCCGGAA